ensembl:lncRNA
UAAAUGAAUGUAACAGAUUACAAUGUACAAAAGGCUUACUUAACUUUAUUUUGUAAGAUAGUAAUCAUAAUCACACUAUAACACAAGCUACUGCCAUCAUACAAAUAUAAGCUUAAUACACUCUAUGAUAUAACUAAAUAAGUGUGUCAGUAUUUUACUUUUGUUUCCAAAAUAUUGGUACAGGAAAUUUCAGGAGCUGAUUUGUGUAGCAUCUUAGCAAAUUUGAGUUUUAUGUAUGUGGGGAACUAGCUUUCCUAGUCAUAAAAAUCUUCCCUUAAGAUUGAACGUAAGUUAUCAUUUUUUCUGUCAGUGACAAUUUUAGUGAUUUUGUUGAAGAUACUUCCAGAAAGGAAGCUCUGGACUUUGUUACAGCCACAUCAGUUAUGUCAACUCAAAGGCAAUUUCUGGGCCAAUUUCUUGAGUAAGGUCUGUCUGCUUACAUGAUUUAUGCAGCAAGUGCUUAUUCCAGGAUGAGAAAGGAGAGUAAAUAUGGAAGAAAAAAAGCCCACAAAGAUAAGUUUAUACGUUCUGACACAGAAAACUCUUCUGCUAUCUCAAAACUUGGAGUCUGACUUUGUCUUCAUUGCAAUCAUUUUUACAAACUUCUGGCUAUAAAGAUUUCCUUUGUGGGAGAAAUGUCAUGAUUACAAAGAAAUCCAAAUCAGUCCAAGAUCAUUUUGCCAAUUGUUUUGCUAUGCAGACAAAAUAGAAAUCUCGUGAAUCUCAGCAAUAUCUUUAAGGUGGAAAAUUCUCGGCUGGAUCAAGGUCAUAAUUCUAUGAACUCUGCUUUGGGGGCUGUUAAUUAAAAAGUCUUUGGCUAAAACCACAUUGAGAGGAAGAACUGGAAUCCAGGACUCAUCCUUCUAGCAGAGUGUGCUUAUUUGCAGAUGCCAGAGUCUGCAGUCUGUGUUCUUCACUAGGCCACCAAAUAUGUCCAGCCUUUAGCAGGAAGACGGAACAAAAUAUCCAAUACAGAGGUUAAUUUCAUCCACUUCUGACAAGACUUUCCUGUUCAGAAAAGAAGGAUUAAUAAACCACAGUCACUCACUGUCUAACCACUAGUCUGAUAGAGAAAAGGCUGGGUCCCACUGGAAUCUGAGUUCAAAAUGUGUAGAAGAUGACAGAGUGUACAUGAGUUUCUCAGCUUAUAGUCAUGAAGCAAACACAGACCUGGACAGUGGGAUAGUUUAUUUUCGGUGAGGAGAAACUGACAAAAGCUGCUCUACCGCUCUAAUGUUCCAGAGUCUAGAUCCCUCAACAGUCCAACCAGCAUCCUUGCUUGACAGAGAUGGUAACCUUCAAGGAAACAAUAGUAAAUUCUUCACUGGUUUUAUUGUUGUUGCUGAAGAUGAAUGAAUAGGCCCAGCAUAGGCAUCUGAAUGCAUAUCAGAGUAUGCAAAGAAGAGCAAGUGAUGUAUACAAUAGUUGGGAUGAAGGAGUAAAGAAUGUUUUUGCAUGGAAAAUACACGUUCCUUCAGCAUUUAGGCAUUUAAAAAUUGAUGCCCCAGAAGCUGGAAGUACAUAAGAUGACUCCUUCAGUUUCACCCUUAGUCUGUGACUUAAGUUAACUGCACAGGCAAAAGGCAUGUUUAAUGAAAAGAGUGUGAUUCUGCAAAAAAG